UUAAGCUUCCUACGGGAGGCUGCAGUGGGGAAUCUUGCGCAAUGGGCGAAAGCCUGACGCAGCCAUGCCGCGUGAAUGAUGAAGGUCUUAGGAUUGUAAAAUUCUUUCACCGGGGACGAUAAUGACGGUACCCGGAGAAGAAGCCCCGGCUAACUUCGUGCCAGCAGCCGCGGUAAUACGAAGGGGGCUAGCGUUGCUCGGAAUUACUGGGCGUAAAGGGAGCGUAGGCGGACAUUUAAGUCAGGGGUGAAAUCCCGGGGCUCAACCUCGGAAUUGCCUUUGAUACUGGGUGUCUUGAGUAUGAGAGAGGUGUGUGGAACUCCGAGUGUAGAGGUGAAAUUCGUAGAUAUUCGGAAGAACACCAGUGGCGAAGGCGACACACUGGCUCAUUACUGACGCUGAGGCUCGAAAGCGUGGGGAGCAAACAGGAUUAGAUACCCUUGUAGUCGAAUUCUU
rnacentral:rRNA from 1 species